rfam:Novosphingobium nitrogenifigens DSM 19370 genomic scaffold scaffold00012, whole genome shotgun sequence.
CCGGGAUAAAGCAACCUCCCGGCCAGGCGUCAGCCCAAGUGUUGC